UGGGGAAUUUUCCGCAAUGGGCGCAAGCCUGACGGAGCAAUACCGCGUGAGUGAUGAAGGCCUUAGGGUUGUAAAGCUCUUUCGCCGGUGAAGAUAAUGACGGUAACCGGUAAAGAAGCCCCGGCUAACUUCGUGCCAGCAGCCGCGGUAAUACGAAGGGGGCUAGCGUUGUUCGGGAUUACUGGGCGUAAAGCGCGCGUAGGCGGGUCAUUAAGUCAGGGGUGAAAUCCCGGGGCUCAACCUCGGAAUUGCCUCUGAUACUGGUGGCCUUGAGUCCGUGAGAGGUGAGUGGAACUCCGAGUGUAGAGGUGAAAUUCGUAGAUAUUCGGAAGAACACCAGUGGCGAAGGCGGCUCACUGGCACGGUACUGACGCUGAGGUGCGAAAGCGUGGGGAGCAAACAGGAUUAGAUACCCCGGUAGUCC
rnacentral:rRNA from 1 species